rnacentral:rRNA from 1 species
AUUGAACGCUGGCGGCAUGCCUUACACAUGCAAGUCGAACGGCAGCGGGGGAGAAGCUUGCUUUUCCUGCCGGCGAGUGGCGAACGGGUGAGUAAUACAUCGGAACGUGCCCUGUAGUGGGGGAUAACUAGUCGAAAGAUUAGCUAAUACCGCAUACGACCUGAGGGUGAAAGUGGGGGACCGCAAGGCCUCAUGCUAUAGGAGCGGCCGAUGUCUGAUUAGCUAGUUGGUGGGGUAAAGGCCUACCAAGGCGACGAUCAGUAGCUGGUCUGAGAGGACGAUCAGCCACACUGGGACUGAGACACGGCCCAGACUCCUACGGGAGGCAGCAGUGGGGAAUUUUGGACAAUGGGCGAAAGCCUGAUCCAGCAAUGCCGCGUGUGUGAAGAAGGCCUUCGGGUUGUAAAGCACUUUUGUCCGGAAAGAAAUGGCUCUGGUUAAUACCUGGGGUCGAUGACGGUACCGGAAGAAUAAGGACCGGCUAACUACGUGCCAGCCGCCGCCGUAAGAC